AUGCCUCCUGGAAAAUCAUUACAGAAACAGAGUUGGCUUCUCCAUUCCCCUUGGAAGGAGCAACCUGAACUGAGGAUGAAAGGAAAACAUCUCGCUGAAUUCUUUAUGAAGAGCCCUCUUUUGUGGCUGCAAUUGCCUUGGGCACCGGGGGCUGGCUGCCUUGGAACAGAAUCAUGGCUCCUGGGCCGUGGGAUGCAGGCAGGGCUUCAGCCACCAGGAUACAAGCCACAUGGAUUUCUCCUGGCUUCUGCUUUUCCACUGAGACACGCAGCUCCUUGUGUGGAUUAGUCCAGAGGAAAGCACCAAGCAUAGAAGAGGAGACCAAAAUAGAUUCUUAAACUCAUGGGUUGAAGAAUUAGAAGCCAGAGCCUUCAUGUUUGCACCGAAGACACUCGAACUUGGGAAUGUGCAGAGUCAAAGAAGAAGACACUCAGAACACAUUCACAGCAGUGCUCAGCCCCCGAGGGUCCAACACACACAGAAACGGUUGUUGACUCCUCACACUGUCCACAGCCCUGUGCGCGAUCCCCUAACUCCACGGAGUGUCCGGGCCUUCAUCUAGGACUUAAUUCAUCCAAGAGCAAGUUGCUCUGUAUGUCCCGGGCAGCACUGGCUUCUUUGCCUACUGUCAUGGCUGUAGCUUCACUCCGGCCUGAGCCACACCCUAGCCAUCAGCAUGUGCUUCCCUGCUCGGGGACAGCAUGGGUGCUUCCCUCAGGCCACACUCUGGAUGGUGCAGGUAAACUCUAUCCAGGUCUCCCACUUACAUGAGCCAGUAACUGCUGCCUCCCAGGCACAUCAGCAGGGAGCUGGGUCAGAAAUGGAGCAGCCAGGACUCAAAGUGGUAUUUACAUGGGAUGGCAGUCUUGCAGGAGGUGGUUUAACCUGCUGAGCUACAAUGUUGGCAAUAGAAACCAGAUUCUAAAGGAGGAGGGUAAAUGACUCUGAUGUAUUCUGGUACAGGUGACAGAAAUAAGGAAACUCAAUCAAGGCAAGAGGAGGGAGAGUAAGGGAUGGGGUGGACGCUCUCAUGGGAUCUCCCACAAAGACGUCCCUGAGAACAGAGGCACCGGGCUGGCCUUGUCAGUGGCAGGCAAAUCCUCAAAACCACUGACCUACAGAUGCACCUGUGUGGAUGCUGAAAGGACAGAAAGAAGGGUCCUUGGGGUGGUCUGCAGAGCACAGCCCAGUGGACAGCAGCAGAAGAAGCUGGGGUAAAGCGAGGGGCCAGUGCCACCAGCAUGGUUGAGACCAGGGUGAGGUGUUUGGAUUUUCGGAUUUUGGAUCUAACUGCACAGAGAAGCCAGGUGCAAGGGUGGGAGGCACCCAUCAAUAUAUGAGUUUGUGUUCCUCCAACACUGCUGGGGCUACUGGCAAGACACCAGGGGUGGGGAAGAGAGGAAGGGGAGACUGAUGAUACCACACAGGAUUCCAGAUGGGAAAAUCUUUAAAAACCCAUGGGAGAAAGAAAGAGCUCCUGUAAAACUCCAGUAAAUUGAAAGACAGCACGGAUACACCGCUAUUUGUAAUACCCCUAUCUGAUUUAGAUUAAACUGUUUAGAGCAACAAUUGCAAUGUUUUGGGCUAGUGAGGUAUUAACAUAUAAUUUACAGCAGUUACAGCAAAGCUUUUGUGUACUAUUUAAAUUAAGUCACUACUAAUUUGAACUGUGUUUUACAAAUUACGAUGUUAAUUAUAAUCCCAGGAAAAAUUACUCGAAAAAGAAAUAGAAAAAAGUGAAAUAAGUCAGGGUAGGGGCUGGCAUUGUGGUGCAAAGGGUUAAACCACAGCCUGCAAUGCCUGCAUCACGUGUAAGUGCUGGUUGAGUCCAGCUGCUCCAUGUCUGAUCCAGCUCAUGCACCUGGGAAAGCAGUGAAAAGUGUCUCAAGUGCUUGGGCCCCUGCAACCAUGUGGGAGACCCGGAUGGAGGUCCAGGUUCCUGGCUUUGGCCUGGCUCAGCCCUGGCUGUUGUGAUCUUUUGGGAUAUGAAUCAGUGGGUGGAAGAUCUCUCUCUCCUUCUCUUCUCUCACUCUUUUUCCCUCUGUAACUCUGCCUUUCAAGUAAAUAAAUAAACCUUUAAAAAAAGGAAGGGUAGAGGC
ensembl:lncRNA